GGUGAACGCUGGCGGUAGGCCUAACACAUGCAAGUCGAACGGCAGCACAGUAAGAGCUUGCUCUUACGGGUGGCGAGUGGCGGACGGGUGAGGAAUACAUCGGAAUCUACUUUUUCGUGGGGGACAACGUAGGGACACUUACGCUAAUACCGCAUACGACCUACGGAUGAAAGCAGGGGGUCUUCCGACCUUGCGCGAUUGAAUGAGCCAAUGUCGGGUUAGCUAGUUGGCGGGGUAAAGGCCCACCAAGGCGACGAUCCGUAGCUGGUCUGAGAGGAUGAUCAGCCACACUGGAACUGAGACACGGUCCAGACUCCUACGGGAGGCAGCAGUGGGGAAUAUUGGACAAUGGGCGAAAGCCUGAUCCAGCAAUACCGCGUGGGUGAGGAAGGCCUUCGGGUUGUAAAGCCCUUUUGUUAGGAAAGAAAAGCAGCGGGUUAAACUCUCGCUGUUCUGACGGUACCCAAAGAAUAAGCACCGGCUAACUUCGUG
rnacentral:rRNA from 1 species